CCCUUAGAUGUCCUGGGCCGCACGCGCGCUACACUGAGUGUCUGAGAUACGAGUCUGCCUGGUCCGGCAAGGUCUAGGUAAUCGCUAAAAGACACAUCAUGCUUGGGAUAGAUUUUUACAAAUAUUAAUCUUGAACGAGGAAUUCCUAGUAAGCGCAAGUCAACAGCUUGCGUUGAUUACGUCCCUGCCCUUUGUACACACCGCCCGUCGCUACUACUGAUUGGAUGUUUAAGCGAGGUUCUCGAACUGCUAGCGACUUAGCUUCGGUGAGGUCGCAGUGUGGGAAGUGAACCUAGCUUUGGUGUCUAGAGGAAGUAAAAGUCGUAACA
rnacentral:rRNA from 1 species